UGGGGCGUGGCCAAGUGGUAAGGCAACGGGUUUUGGUCCCGCUAUUCGGAGGUUCGAAUCCUUUCGUCCCAA
rnacentral:tRNA from 9 species